UGGGGAAUAUUGCACAAUGGGCGCAAGCCUGAUGCAGCCAUGCCGCGUGUAUGAAGAAGGCCUUCGGGUUGUAAAGUACUUUCAGCGGGGAGGAAGGGAGUAAAGUUAAUACCUUUGCUCAUUGACGUUACCCGCAGAAGAAGCACCGGCUAACUCCGUGCCAGCAGCCGCGGUAAUACGGAGGGUGCAAGCGUUAAUCGGAAUUACUGGGCGUAAAGCGCACGCAGGCGGUUUGUUAAGUCAGAUGUGAAAUCCCCGGGCUCAACCUGGGAACUGCAUCUGAUACUGGCAAGCUUGAGUCUUGUAGAGGGGGGUAGAAUUCCAUGUGUAGCGGUGAAAUGCGUAGAGAUGUGGAGGAAUACCGGUGGCGAAGGCGGACCCCUGGACAAAGACUGACGCUCAGGUGCGAAAGCGUGGGGAGCAAACAGG
rnacentral:rRNA from 1 species